AAAAGGCUCAGAAGUUUUUUGGUAUACAGUUUCUU
rnacentral:sRNA from 1 species